rnacentral:tRNA from 1 species
GCCCGCGUGGUGUAGUGGUCUAUCAUGAAGCGUUGUCGAUGCUUCGACCCGGGUUCAAAUCCCGGCGCGGGCGCCA